rnacentral:tRNA from 1 species
GACGGAAUAGUUCAGCGGCUAGAACAGCAGAGUCAUAAUCUGCGUGUCGUGGGUUCGAGUCCCUCUUCCGUUA